UACGAAGGGGGCUAGCGUUGUUCGGAAUUACUGGGCGUAAAGCGUGCGCAGGCGGCUUCUCAAGUCAGGGGUGAAAGCCCAGAGCUCAACUCUGGAAUUGCCUUUGAGACUGAGUGGCUUGAGUACGAGAGAGGUGAGUGGAAUUCCCAGUGUAGAGGUGAAAUUCGUAGAUAUUGGGAAGAACACCCGUGGCGAAGGCGGCUCUCUGGGACGGUACUGACGCUGAGACGCGAAAGCGUGGGGAGCGAACAGG
rnacentral:rRNA from 1 species